GCCCCUGUAGUUCAACGGAUAGAACGAAAGUUUCCUAAACUUUAAAUCUGAGUUCGAUUCUCAGCGGGGGUAC
rnacentral:tRNA from 1 species